rnacentral:rRNA from 1 species
CCUACGGGAGGCAGCAGUGGGGAAUAUUGGACAAUGGGCGCAAGCCUGAUCCAGCAAUGCCGCGUGAGUGAUGAAGGCCUUAGGGUUGUAAAGCUCUUUUACCAGGGAUGAUAAUGACAGUACCUGGAGAAUAAGCUCCGGCUAACUCCGUGCCAGCAGCCGCGGUAAUACGGAGGGAGCUAGCGUUGUUCGGAAUUACUGGGCGUAAAGCGUACGUAGGCGGUUAUUCAAGUCAGAGGUGAAAGCCCGGGGCUCAACCCCGGAACUGCCUUUGAAACUAGGUAGCUAGAAUCUUGGAGAGGUCAGUGGAAUUCCGAGUGUAGAGGUGAAAUUCGUAGAUAUUCGGAAGAACACCAGUGGCGAAGGCGACUGACUGGACAAGUAUUGACGCUGAGGUACGAAAGCGUGGGGAGCAAACAGGAUUAGAUACCCUGGUAGUCCACGCCGUAAACGAUGAUAACUAGCUGUCCGGUCACUUGGUGACUGGGUGGCGCAGCUAACGCAUUAAGUUAUCCGCCUGGGGAGUACGGUCGCAAGNUUAAAACUCAAAUGAAUUGACGG